rnacentral:rRNA from 1 species
AUUGAACGCUGGCGGCAGGCUUAACACAUGCAAGUCGAGCGGAGAUGAGGUGCUUGCACCUUAUCUUAGCGGCGGACGGGUGAGUAAUGCUUAGGAAUCUGCCUAUUAGUGGGGGACAACAUUCCGAAAGGAAUGCUAAUACCGCAUACGUCCUACGGGAGAAAGCAGGGGAUCUUCGGACCUUGCGCCAAUAGAUGAGCCUAAGUCGGAUUAGCAAGUUGGUGGGGUAAAGGCCUACCAAGGCGACGAUCUGUAGCGGGUCUGAGAGGAUGAUCCGCCACCCUGGGACUGAGACACAGCCCAGACUCCUACGGGAGGCAGCAGUGGGGAAUAUUGGACAAUGGGGGGAACCCUGAUCCAGCCAUGCCGCGUGUGUGAAGAAGGCCUUAUGGUUGUAAAGCACUUUAAGCGAGGAGGAGGCUACUGAGACUAAUACUCUUGGAUAGUGGACGUUACUCGCAGAAUAAGCACCGGCUAACUCUGUGCCAGCCGCCGCCGUAAUAC